rnacentral:lncRNA from 1 species
CUCUUUCCUGAGGCUGUUUCCUGUCUGGCUCCUGGGGGCCUUCGGGAUGGCUGGGAGGGCCCUUCCUCUCAUUUGCUAGCACCCCCUCUCAUCCAUCAGUUUGAGGGGAGGGUCCAGGAAAGACGGCCUCCUAUCUACAUCAGGGCACUGUGACUGUGGGGCACAGGAUGGUUGGAUGAGAGAAGUGCUGUUCCCGAAGUCGGUCCUUUAAGGGCUGCGUGACGCCCGAGAUCUUUACUCCCUGGGUCAGGAAGCACCCUCCAUUUAUCCUGUGUGUAUGAGGUCAUUCCUUCCACUCCCGGACCACCAGAAACUCCUGCUGCCAGCACUGAGUUGCUUAGCCUUCUGCUGCAGUAUUAGGGGACUUGGAGGAACUGAGAUGUGGCUCUGUGGUAGAAGUGCCAGCUGCCAAAGCGGACAACUUGAGUUUGAAUUUCAAGGUAAACAUAGUGGAAGGAGAAAACCGAUUUCCAGAAGUUGUCUGUCAUCUGUGAACUCCACAUGGACACUGUGGCCUUCACUGGCUCUCUCCUAACGCAAUAAAUAUGUAAAUAAA